rnacentral:lncRNA from 1 species
AAAUUCAUGGAAGGAGGGUACAGAUUGCUGCUCAUGGGAUGGGGUCACUUGUGACCACCUAAAUGCUCAUGUUAUUGCCCUUGACUUGAGCUGCAGUUGGCUAUAUGGCACCUUCCCUUCCAAUACCACUCUCUUCCUUCUUCCUCACCUUCAAAAACUCAACCUUGCCUACAAUCAUUUUAAUUCUUCCAAAAUUCCAUCCGAGUUCGGUCGGUUUACAAGCCUAUUCUACCUCAACCUUUCCAAUACAUGGUUUUCAGAAGUCCCAUCCCAAGUCUCCCACCUGUCAAAAUUGGUUUCACUUGAUCUCUCCUCUCGGAUUGAUUACUCUGGGCAAGUUACAAUUGACAAACAUGCUCUGGAGGGACUUGUUCACAACCUAACCGAGGUCAGACAUCUGUUUUUGGAUGGAAUCAACAUGACUUCUGUUAAUGCUCAUGUCUUCAUGAAUCUAUCCUCUUCUCUAAGGUCUCUCAGUCUUGCUUUUUGUGAUUUGCAAGGAAAAUUCCCAAAAAACAUUUUUGAUUUGCAAAACCUCAAUCUCCUCAACUUGAGAUACAACCAAUUGAGUGGACAAAUUCCAAGAUCAUUGGGGAACCUCUUGCAACUCACUCAUUUACACUUGUCGGGGAACCAAUUGAGUGGACAAAUUCCAUUGUCAAUUCUAAACCUAACGCAGUUGGAAUACUUGGAAAUAUCUGAAAAUUCUUUAGAAGGUUCCAUUCCAGAUGAGGUAACCGCUUUUCCUAAUCUAAUAUAUUUAUACUUAUCUGACAAUUUACUCAAUGGAACACUUCCGUCAUGGUUGUAUACUGCUCCCUGCUUAAAGGAAAUAUAUCUCUCUCAAAAUCAAUUCAGUGGGCAUAUCAAAGAAUUCCAAACCAAAUCACUAGAAUAUUUAUAUCUAGAAAAUAAUAAACUCCAAGGUCCCCUUCCAUCUUCAAUAUUCCAACUUCUCAAUCUUACCGGGCUCCUUUUAUCCUCAAAUAAUCUUAGUGGUGUCAUAGAGUUGAGCAUGUUCUCAAACCUUCCAAAUCUCAAAUAUCUUGACCUUUCAUAUAACAGCCUAUCCUUAAUAUCUAAUACUACUUCUACUGUUAAUCAUAUAUUGCCUAAUCUUACAGGCUUACAUUUGUCAUCUUGCAAUCUUAGUGAAUUCCCCCAAUUUUUGAAAGGGCUUAAAAGUUUGGAAAGCUUAGACCUCUCUUGCAACAAAAUUGAAGGCAAGAUUCCACAGUGGAUGCAAGAGGUGGGGAAUGUCUCUUUGACUUACUUCAACGUAUCUCACAACUCUUUGACAGAAGUUGAGCACUUUCCAUGGAAGAAUAUUGAUGUUCUUGACUUAAGCUCCAAUUUGAUCAGUGGAAAUCUUCCGAUUCCAGCUUCGACGAUCAGAGUCUUUCUGAUCUCAAAUAAUAGUUUCAAUGGAGAGGUCUCUUCUUUAAUAUGCAAUGCCAGUUCUCUUCAAAUUCUUGAUUUGUCCCACAAUAACUUGAGUGGAACAAUUCCGCAAUGUUUCGGAAAUUUGAGCGACAGCCUUGAAUUCUUGAAUCUGAAGAAGAACAAGUUUUAUGGGACGAUUCCUCCAACAUUUGCAGAGGGAUGCCAGUUGACUAAUUUCAACUUAAAUGGAAAUCUGUUAGAAGGGCCUUUGACACCAUCCAUCCUUAAUUGUAGAGGUCUGGAAGUGCUAGAUCUUGGUAACAACAAGAUCAAUGAUACAUUUCCUCAUUGGUUGGGAAAUCUUCCAUAUUUGCAAGUUCUUGUAUUGAAGUCAAAUCAUAUGCAUGGUUCUUUGCGUGUCAAUAGCUCCAAGUCUAGCCCCUUUUUCUCUAAAAUCCAAAUUUUUGACCUCUCAAGUAAUUAUUUUUCUGGACCCCUACCUGUGAGGUACAUCAACAGCUUCAAGGCUAUCAGAAAUCUAGAGAAGAUUCGUAGUACAGUGUCGUACAUGGGGGUGAAUGGUCGGAAUGGUAGUGGCUUCUAUACCUAUUCCAUUGGAAUUGUUAUGAAAGGACAAGAUAUGGAAUUGGUGAAAAUUUUCACCAUGUGGAUGAUCAUUGAUCUAUCAAACAAUCAGUUUGAAGGGGGUAUUCCAGAGGUUUUUGGAAAGCUUAACUUACUGAAAGGGCUCAACCUUUCUCAUAAUAACCUUAGUGGUGGUAUCCCCACCUCAAUAGGGAAUUUGACAAGUCUUGAAUGGUUGGACCUAUCUUCAAACAGGUUGUCUGGGACGAUUCCAAAUAGAUUGGCAGAUCUGGCAUUUCUUUCGUCCUUCAAUGUUUCUGAAAAUCAACUCCAUGGUCAGAUUCCUCAAGGAAAACAAUUCAACACAUUUGGAAAUGAUUCAUAUCAAGGGAAUAAGGGACUAUGCGGGUUUCCAGUCUCGAAAGGUUGCAACAUCAUUGAGCCAGCACCUCCAAAUGUGCUUGAAAAAGAUGGCUCAAAAUCAAACAUUACUUUUGGUUGGAAAGUGGUGUUGAUAGGUUAUGGAUGCGGAGUGGUGUUCGGAAUGUCCGUGGGAUAUGUUGUUUUCCAAACUGGUAAGCCGAAAUGGUUGGUGAAUUUGGUUGAAAUCCAACAUGAGAAGAUGCGAAGAAGAAAGUCAAAGGAUGGCAGUCGCAGCAAUGGACGAAGAAGGAUCUAGUUAGUGGAAAUGGUGUUCAAGUGUUGAUGUUGUAUCUUCAUAAUUUCUUGUUUUGAAGUCUUUCAAUUUUUUUCCUAUGGUGAAAGGUUGCAUUGCCAUGCAUCUGUCUUUAUUAUUGUAACAAUUCAUCUAUAUUUCAUUGCAUUACGUCCUAUAACAUUUUGUAUGGUUCAACCAUUUAUAUCUUCUUUCAUGACUUCCAUUUUUGAGUCUCAAUAAUCUCUGCAUUCAAGAUUUUGUCAGCUUAUUAAUUGGUGGAUCAAUAAUCUUCAUGCUCAUCUCAUCAUCUUUUUCUCGAGUUUCUUCUGUGUGGAAAAUAAUUUGACAUUCUGCAAAUUUCCACAAUGCUUGUGGAUUACCUUUGGUUAACAGCUAUACAUAUAAAGGAAGAAAACAAGACCAUGUCCAAAUUUCCAAAAAUUAGCCAUUGAUUUUUGAACAGUUAAACUUUCGUAUUCUAUUUUUUAAAAUUGUAAAUUCUCAAAUAAUGUAAAUUAGUCCUAAAACUCAAGUUUUGAAAUCUUUACAAUUUAACCCCUUAUAGUUUCAAACUUUACUGUUUUAUACUCAACUUUCUAAAUUUUCAUAUUUCAUGAUCAUAUAAUUUAGUUACUACAUCAAUAUUUGAGAUUUCACUACUCAAACCCUUACUUCAUUUCGGUCGUUACUUCAAUUUUAUCAAAUUACAUCAUUUUUCAAUUUGAAUGCAUUGAUGUGAAAUUGAGGGACCACUAAACAAUGUUGAUGAGAGUUUAGGCAAAAUUGGUGGAUCCGAUCUCCUUAGUAAUUUCUUUGUGGAAGUACCUACUUUCACAAUGCAAACUUGGAUAGUUUGUGGUGGACGAUGAUGAAUCAUUUCACAGUCAAACACAUAAUUUUUAAACACAAAAUUAACGAUAUAUUGAAAUCAUUAUUGAAAUUAUAAUCAAAAUUAAUACAUGUUCUUUUUAUUAGCUUAAGGGCGUAAAAACCCUUCAAAAUUUUCAAAAAAAAAAAAUUUAAGUCCUUUUUUUCUACUCAAUUGAGCACUUAAACUUUUAAAAUGUAUCAAAAAUAUCUUUACACUUCUUCAAAAAAAGCAAUUAAACCCCUUUUUUUUCCGCUCAAUUGGGUACUUGAACUUUCAUAAUGCAUAAAAAAAACCUUAAAUUUUUUUUCAAAGAAACAAUUAAGCCUCUAUUUUUUUCCCACUCAAUUGGGUACUUGAACUUUCAUAAUGCAUCAAAAAGGCCUUUAUUUUUUUUCAAAAAAGCAAUUAAGCCCCUACUCUUAUUAAAAAUUAGAAAAAAUCAUAAAAAUAAUAAAGUUCAAGUACCCAAUUGAGUGCCAAAAAAUAAAGUAGGGGCCUAAUUGCUUUUUUUGAAAAUGUUUGAGGGUCUUUUUGAUGUAUUUUGAAAGUUCAAGUACCCAAAUGAGUGCAUAAAAAGAACAGGGGUUUAGUUGCUAUUUUUGAAAAAGUUUGCACCCUUAAACCUCUUUUCUUUUUCUUUUUCAUAUGUGGCCUUGUUUGCUACAACUUAGUUGCUAAGUUAAAGGGAGUGAAUAGAGCACCAUUUUCUUCUUCUGCGUGGAAAAUUAAGUUGGCAUUAUGCCAAUUUCCACAUUCAUACAUACAAAGGAAGCAAGAGCAAGUCAAUAUACUUUGUAAUCUCAUCAAUUCUAAUUUUUAAAGUGUUGUUUACUACACACUUAGGGACCAUAUAUGUAUAUAUACAUUGCAGUCUGGGUCUUUGUCGUGUUUUGUUGGUUGGCUAUGGCCUUCUUGUUGUUUCCACUGUCUGCGGUGUUUGUUUCUAAGUCAUAUGUGGCCCUGUUUGCUACAACUUAGUUGCUAAGUUAAAGGGAGUGAAUAGAGCACCAUUUUCUUCUUCUGCGUGGAAAAUAAGUUGGCAUUAUGCCAAAUUCCACAUUCAUACAUAUAAAGGAAGCAAGACCAAGUCAAUAUACUUUCUAAUCUCAUCACUUCUUCUUUCUUUAGGGAGUUCAAGUGAAAUACAAAUUUUUUCACAUCCAAUCUCAUAAAUAAUCCGUCUUUGAACUUUCACCAAAAAAUAUUAAAUACCCAUUCACUUCAAUUCUACUAUUCUUAAAUCAUUAAAGUUUUGUGGAAAAUAUGCUUCUUGGAUAAAAUUAUUCAACACACAUGCCUUGAAUUUUAUGCAAAUAAAAUAAAUGAAUAUAGGCCACACAUGCUUUGAAUUUUUAAGUAGUCCAUAAUUUUGUUCGUUUGUGUGCAAAAUUCUACAUUGCUUGACAGCCAUACAUACUAAGUAAAUAGACACCCACAUUGUUUACAUAUUAUGAGGAAGAAGACCAAGUCAAUCUACUUUGUAAUCUCAUCAAUCUUAAUUUUUUCAGUUGUUUAGGGAGUUCAAAUGAAAUACAAAAUUUUGAAAAAAAAAUGUAUCCAAUUUUGUGAAUGAAAAAUUUAUGGUAAAAAGGAUUUGGUAUGGAUACUUCAGCCCGGGUAGCAAUACUCAGGGUAAGUUUAUCAAUACAUUGCUUUUGGUUGGAAAGUGGUGUUGAUAGGUUAUGGAUGCGGGGUAGUGUUUGGAAUGGCCAAAAUAUAGCAAUCGCAUCAGUGGAUGAAGAAGGAUCUAGUUGGUGCAAAUGAAGUUAAAGCAUUUCUGCCGUCUCUUCAUAAUUUCUUGUUUGGUAGUCUGUCAGAAAGUUUUUCCUAUGGUGAAAAGUUUGAGUUGCAUUUAUAAAAUUUCCACUGUCAAAAGAUUCGAUUGCACUGCAGGGUAACAUAUUUAAGAUUGGAUUACACUGUCAAAAGAUUGCAGCAACGAUGAGAUUAAUCCAAUUACAGGAAUUGGUAUCCUAAAUGGCUUUUUGGUACGUAGCUUCAUUGACGGUACAAACUAGUUAAAAUUUCCAGCAUUCAUGUGUUUGUUUUCCCUCAAGUAAACGUAGUCAAUACUGCAAAUGGUGUGGAAGUACUGUACAUUGUGGCCCAAAUGUCCAAAAUUUCCACAUUGCAUGUAAAUUAAGUUUGCGUGAGAGAGAUAGGAGGAAGCAACAGCAAGUGUGAAGUCAAUAGACAACUGAUAGUCUUAGUCUUUUUUUGUCGAGUUAAAGUGUAGUCAAUAGACAAUUGAUAGUCUUAGCCCUUUUUGUGGAGUUAAAAGUAUAGUCAAUAAACAAUUGAUAGUUAAAUUUGUAGCAUUCUUCUUCCUCUUUAUUCUUUUGUGUGGAAAAUUAUUUGGGACCAAACUUGACGUGUUAUAAGGAAGAAGACUUUGUAAUCUCAUGAAUGUUAAUUAUUUUACUUCUUUGGUAAAAAAAGUAACCAAUUUUAUGAAUGAAAAAUAUUAUGUGGUAAAAAGGAAGUAGUUGUUCAUCACUAACAAUAUGAUGAUUGUGGAAAUACAAAAAAUCCCAUAUAUGUGUUGAAUUCUGCAUAAUAUAAAUGUCCUGCAUUGCAUGUGAAUUCUGCAAUAGACCAAACUUUACGUGUUAUAGUCCUUUAAACUGAGUUAAUGAAAAGUAACCAUUCUUAUCAAAUUUAGUUAUACUCUUAAUUUAUAACAAAGGAAAGAGUAAUUUGAGUUUAACUCAAAGGUUAAUAUGUCAUCAAUGGGUGAUGGCGUGGCGCUACCAUGUCAGCGAUUAUUUUCUUCUUUGAAUUAAGGUGAUUUCACCAAUUUUAGUUUACUUUUUUACUUCAAUUUAGGUUUAUGCUUAUUAGCUUCAAAGAUUCUAAGUGGGUGCCACAAUCAAAGGGUGAGUAAAAAGGGUUAAAAAUGAUUUUUUUAAAAUUUUUUAUUUUUAUUAAAAAUUUAGAAUUAGAAUUAGACAAAUUUUGUAAAAGUUAAGGGCUAACUUUAUUGAUUUUUUUUUUCAGAAUUCGAACUAAAAUUACAUUUUGUAAAAAGAGCUAAAUUUGUUGAGUUUUUUAUAUUUAGGAUCAAAUUGAUAGAAUGUGUAAAUAUUAGAGGUUAAAUUUGUUAUUAGAUCAAUAAAAAAACCCACAUUAGCUUUGCGUCACUCAUCUAACGACAACUAAAGGGAGAGUUAUUAAAAUAUUUAAUUUCAAAAAGUUUAGCAACUAAAUUGGAAAAUUUAAUAGUUGGGUGACUAUUUUUGCAGUUUACUACUUUUUUGGUCACCUGACUAUUAAGUGACACUUUUUAGUUGGUAUAAUAAUAAUUUUAGUCCUCAAUUUUUAUACUUUCUGUCAAUUUGACUCUGAUUAUAUAAAAUGAUUACAAAAGUGAAAUUCUUUUUAAAAUUUACAAAAUUCUAAAAAUUAAAAAUUAAAUGAAAGUAGAUAAAAAUUUCAAAUAUAAACAAAGUGAGAGAAAAUGAGGGAAAUAUUAUUUUUAAACCCUCCAACUUUUCUUUGUAUUAUCGUAAAGAAAUAUCUAAUAUCCAUUCUUUUAGAAAACAUAGAAAAAAGUAAAAAAAAAAAAGAUUAAGUAAAAUUAUCUGUAUAUAAUCUGCUUUUAUAAUUUGGGUUUUUAAAAAUAAAUUUAAAUGAAUUGAAAAUUCGAAUUGAGUUUGAAAAAUAAAAUUUUGUGGUAUAUUUUAUAUUUUUGCUAGAAAAAUGGCAUCAAAGUUGAUUUUGUAAGCUUUUGUAAUAUCAGUUACGGAUGUUCUUCAAGGGCAUGGAACUCAACUUGAAAAUUUUACUAAUUUGGUUGCAAAAAAACAUUGAGGAAGCAUAUAAUGAUCUAACCUUUUUUGUUUUGUUUUGUUUUUAAUUUGUUAUGGGAUUCUAUUGAAUGAUAAUUUUUUUUUAUUUCCCAUACAUAUUAGUUCUUCAAAAACAACAUAUUCGAGAUUUUAUUUUUCUAGAAUUUUUAUAUAGAAGUUUAUAUUUUUUAAAAUAAAUUUGAGUUUUUUUUAGAAUUUUUAUAUAGAAUCGAGGUAAAUUGGCAAAAAAAAUUAUAAAAACAAAAUACUAAAAUUGUUAUUAUAGCAACUAAAAAGUGUCAUUUAACAAUAGGGUGACCAAAUUGUAACUUUUUUAGUUAAGUGACCAAAACGAAGAUUUACCCAUAGUUUAGUGGCUAAUUAUGUAGUUUACCCUUUCAUAAUUAAAAAAUAGUUGUUAAGUUUUUCUUGUAUUAGAUAACAAUUUAGAUGGUAAAAACCCUCUUUAGUCCCUCUCAAUUUUGAUAUUAAGUAAAAUUGUCCAUUUAAAAAAAAAAUCAAAGCAAUUUAAUAUUUGUUAAUUUCGAAAGUGAGCAACUAAGGACAAUUAAUCACAAUGUCAAUAUUUUCCAUCAAUUGUACAUAUUUUUAUUGGUGUAAUAACAAAUUUAGCUCUCAAAGUUUACACAUUCUGUCAAUUUAGUCUUGAUUUAACAAAUUUAACCCGCAACAAUUACAUAUUCUAUUAACAUUGACACAUAAUAUAUAAACAUUGAGAGCUUAAUUUUUUAUUGUAUCAAUAAAAAUUAUGUACAAUUUACAUAAAGCAUUAACACAAUGAUUAAUUGUCCUUAGUUGCUCCCUUUCAAAAUUGAUCAUGAUUAAAUUGCUCUAAUUUUCUGAGAGGAACCAAUUUGUUCAAUAUAGAAAUUGAGAGGGACGAGAAAUGUGUUUUUUAUCCAUUUUAGAUACCAACAAGUGUUUGGCAUAGUCGCAAGACAUAUUACAUUCUCAAGGAGAGAAUGCGUAGUCAAACGUUGGAGAUAUCAAUGUUGUGUGGGGUAUCCAAGGAUCUCGAACACGAACUGUAAAACAUAUAUAAAGAAUAAAAAAAUAACAUCUUAAUUUAAAUAAUUAUAAAUUUUAAUUUGAAAAAAGUAUUUUGAGAAACAUAAGUUUUAGAAGUAGUAAAAUUGAAUCGAUAAAACAUGUCCAUUAUAUCAGAAUCAUAAAAAUACAACUUAAUUAAUUUGAAUUUAAACUUAACUCAACUCGACUUGAUUAUAAAAACUGAUAAUUUGAAUUCAAAAUGACAUGAUCUUGAAAUGAUUUGAAUUAAUUGUCAGACCCGAACGACAAAACUCGAAAUGAUGCAAUCCAAAAACACAAAUCAAGUGAACUAAACUACGAAAAAAAAAACCUUACACUGACUCAAAUCCAAAAUAGUUUAAUCCUAAAAUAACCUAAAUUUUAUAUAAUAAAAACUCGAAAUAACCCGAAAAUUUUUAAAUUAAAAUUGAUCCGACCCAAAUUCACACCACCUAAAAUCAAUCGUAACCACCUAAUUAAAAAGCAUGAAAUGAAAUGAUGUAAAGAGAAAAUCAGAGAAAACCAAAUAGAAAGUAACAAGCCUUUUUCAGAAUUGAAAGCAAAUUCCGUACAUUCACGACAUGCAUAAAACAACAAUGGUUUAUAGAAUUUGAGUUUUAGUCCCUGUACUUUAAAAGUUAAUUUUUCUUAAUUUAAAAACUUUAGUUUAAUCAUUUAUGUUGGUUGUAGUUUCCGUUAGCUUAAUCAACAUGUUAAAUUACUAAAUUUUGACAAAAAAUACUUACGAGUUUAAUGAUUGUACCGAGAUUUUUAAAUAAAAAAGUCGGAAGACUAAUUUCUAACCUUUUAAAUAUAGGGACUAAAAGCAUCUUUUAACUUUGAUAUUAUUAUUAUAAGCAGGGAUAAUGUCACCUUUGGCAUCUGUACUUUCAUAAAAUGUCUAGUGGUACAAGUACUUUGAAAAUAUAUAAUGUGGUACCUGAACUAUCAAUAGGUGUUAUUAUUAUGGUACAUGUACUUUGAAAAUGUUUAAUGUGGUACCUAAACUAUCAAUAUAUAUUUUAUUAUGAUACUUGAUAAAGACGGACUAUGGUGGCUUAGGGGGCUCUUUGUCCCGCCACCCUUGCAAAAAAAAAAAAAAUCGAAGAAUUUUGUUUUUUCCUUUAAAAUUUUUAGAAAAUUUCAAUUAGGCCCUCAAAAUUUUUGAAAAUUUUCAUUAUACCUUUUAAUUUUUUUGAAAAUUUUAAUUAAGCACUCUUAAAUUUUGAAAAUUCUCAUUGAUCUCACAAAAAUUUUAAAAUUUUUUAUUAGACCCCCAAUUUUUUUAAAAAAAAUCUUAUUAAACCAUUAAAUUUUUAGCAAAUUUUACCUGCCCCCUCCCCCCCAAAAAAACCUAGUCCCAACUACUAGUAUCCGCCAUUGUUACUUGGUAUUAACACUGUUAGAAAAUUGCUAAAUCAACCAAUAAAAAUUUGACACAUAGAACCCUUUUUUUAAUUAUCAAGUCCACGUGGAUAAUAUAAUAGUGAAAAAAUAAAUAAAAAAUAAUUAAAUGAAAUUAAAAAACAAAUAACUAAACAUAUGGUUAAUAAAAAAAAACCCAUACUUUCAAAGAUAAUAAAAAAUAUUAUUUAAAAAUCAAUUGAAAAUAUUAUUUUAAAAGGAAAACUCUUUGAAGAAGAUGAUCAUUUGCUUAAAUGGAGAAUAUAAUAUUUUUGGUUAUGUAAGUUUAGUAUUUACUUCUUUUUUAUUAAUCAUAUGUUUAGUUUUUUUUUUAAUUAAUUUAAUUGUUUUAUUUAGUUUUUCACAUAAUGUUAUUUUACACAUGCGGACUUGAUGAAUUAGAAAAAAAAUAUUAUGUGUCAAAUUUUCAUUGGUUGGUCUAAUAAUUCAUUAACGGUGGAUUUGUUCUACAUUGAUGACAAAGAUGUGGAGUUUAAAGAAGUAAGAACUUAUCAACAAUAUUCGAGGUUCUGUUAUAUGUUACCUUAUUAAAAAAGUCAUCACUUAAAUUCUUCUAUGUUGCCUUAUGUAUGUAGGUUCUUGAGUCACCUUUGCCAAAAGCACCGCUUGAUACAUCUGUUACAUCCCACUGGCUUGCGAUUGAAGGCAUUCAACCAGCAAUUCCAGAAAAUGCUUCAAUUGAAGGUACCGUCUUAGCUAACCUAAAUAUUCUCUCGAAGCUAUUUGUGUUGAAGACUCUCAUGGUUCAUGUUCUUUUCUGGUUUUAUCACUUUAAUCUAAUACGACUUAUCGUCAUUUCUACACGGAAUUUGUAUUUUGCUUUCCAUGCAGCACCUUCUGAUGGUAAAAAGGCUGAAUACAAAAAAGAUGGGCUUUCCGUUGAUGUCAAAUUACCUGUUAAGCAUGUAUUAUCUAGAGAGCUUCAAGUAUGUUGUACAUCUUCAGCAACAUUUUUCUGUUAAAAUACAUUUUGCACAGAAUGAUAUUAAAAGACUAAUUUGGUUGUCAUGCAGCUUUACUUUGACAAGAUCGUGGACAUUACCAUGAAUAAAUCAGUCUCAAUUCUCUUUAAACAAGCAUUACUGAGUUUGGCAACAGACUCGGGAUUACAUCCUUUAGUUCCUUAUUUUACAUAUUUUUGCGGAUAUCUCAUACCUGAUUAUAUAUGUGUGUUGCAAAGAACUUUUGGUUGGUUAUCUCGAGCUUACAUUUUUGCCACAUUUAUCUCAGGUUGCACGGAGUAAUUUCCCUCUCAUGUUUGCUUUGAUGCGUGUUGCCCGGAGUCUUCUCCAGAAUGAACACUUACACAUAGAACCUUACUUGAGUUUAUUAUUUCAAUCAUUUAGAAGUACACGAACUAAUGCAAAUAUGCUAGUGGUUUAUUUUCCACCUAUCUGAUUUUUUAAAAUGUUCUUCAGUUACACCAGUUGAUGCCAUCUAUUAUUACCUGCCUCGUUGCAAAAAGGUUAGGAAAUAAAUUCACCGACAAUCAUUGGGAACUUAGAAACUUCGCAGCAAAGCUAGUGGCAUCAUUAUGCAAAAGGUGAGGAUUUCUUUUCUUUUGGACUUAUACAUGCAUAUUCGUUUUUAUGAAUCUCAGGUGUCUGAUUUUUUAGUUAUAAACUUGGAUCUAUUCUUCAAAUCAUGUGUAUAUCAUUUUUAUGCUAUUUCACACAUGCAAAACAAAUGGUGCGAGCGUGCAUGUUAUAUGCAGAAUGCAUAGAUUAAUUACAUGUGGAUCAUUAAGCAUGCCUAUGUUUGACCAUUGUGUGUGGCUACUUUUUUUUACAUGAUCCAAUUUUCGAUAUGCUUUGCUUUUAGGUUGAAUGCGGAAAAGAUUAGAACUUAGUUUCCAGCAUAAUGAUUUGUCUUGGAUAUGCAGAUUUUUACAUGCAUUUCUUACAAGUCAAUAUUUUAUAGAUUUGGGCAUGUUUAUCACAAUCUUCAGCCACGUGUGACAAGGACACUGCUCCAUGCUUUUUUGGACCCAACGAAAACAUUUCCCCAGCAUUACGGAGCAAUUCAAGGGUUAGCAGCCCUUGGACCCAGUGUGGUAUAAUUCUAAUCUCAAAUAUUUACUAGCAACACAAUAAGAUACUUGUUUGUGGGAUCAACUGGUCAAAGAUAUUGCAAUGAUAGCCAUCUUUUUAAGCCCAUUUCUUUCAGAAAACUGUUUUGUCACUCUUUUCUGCAAGAUCCGAAGAAAGAAAGAACUUGGAAAUCUAUAGUCCAAAAGUGUAAAUAUGCGGUUUCUCUAUAGGUAUCUUUAUUAUGGCAUCUGUACAGUUUGUCUUUCAUAUGUUUGGCUAACGCUUCUUCUUCCAUGUGUAGGUUCGUUUACUUAUACUACCAAAUCUUGAAGCGUAUUUGCAGCUUCUUGAACCUGAAAUAAAAAGACACGAGGCCUGGUGUGUUUAUGGGGCCCUGCUGGUAAGUUCCACAUCAAAUUUGGUACCAGUUUAUGAGCAUCGUUUCAUUUAUUUGCUGUAGAACUAACAACACUGCAUAAAAUUUCCACUAACAGCGUGCAGCUGGACUGUGCAUGUAUGAUCGGCUUAAAAUGUUCCCCAGUUUGCUAGCACCCCCAACUCGUCCCGUUUGGAAAAGCAACAACAAAGUUGCGACAAGUAUGAUUUCUUCGAACCAUCAUAUUUACACUUAAUCCACAAGUCUCUUCUCCCCCUUUACGAUAUUCCUUUUUCUGAUCAACCAAGAUAAACGAAAAGCAAGCACGGACACCUUGAUGCAGCAGCAACAACCUGCCAAGAAAAUAGCAACUGAGAGUGCAAUAGGUAUGAUGCCAAUAAAUUCCAUGCAAGCUGAUUUACAAGGGUCAGUUAGCGGCUUUUCUACCACCGUAGGAGGUUCCAAUAUCGGUGUAUCAUCAAUGUCACGGCCGUUAUCAAACUAUAACAUGCUUGGAAGGGAGGCUGGGGGUCGAGUUUCAAAGACAUCAACCGUUCUAGCUCAGGCUUGGAAGGAAGACACAGACGCAGGGAACUUGUUAGCAUCAUUAUUUGAACUUUUUGGUGAAAGUAUGUUAUCAUUUACUCCCAAACCUGAGCUUUCAUUCUUCCUUUGAUUGAAUUUCACCUCCAAAAGCUAUAGUUUUUGAAGGAAUUUGUGUAAAUUAUCCCCAUAGUUUUUUUCAGUCUUACUGUGUUUAUCUUUAUAAGUCUUCUUUUUUUCCUUGCUCAUAAAUGUAUUGUAGUUAUCAGAAAAUAUAUUCUACUUUGGAUUUUGUUUAUAUUAAAUUUUAGGUUAAAUUCUGCUAUUAGUCUCUGUAUUUACGAAAAUGAUGGAUUUAGUCCUUAUACCUUAAUUUGAUCAAUUUUAGUCAUUGUAUUUUUUGAAUUGGUCAAUUUUAAACUAUUUACUUUUUGAAGUUUGAAAUUUUAGUCUUGAUCCAAAUAAUAAUAAUAAUUAAAUCUGCUUAUUUAAAUUCAAUUAUUAGUUUUGUAUUAUGUAGAUAGUUAUAAAUUUAGGGUGGGUUUGGAUGGGCUGUGCUUUUACCUGCAGUUAGUGUAAAAAUAGCGGCGGUGGUGAGAUUAGAUAUCCAAGGUACCUAAUUUUUAUUUUGGCCAUAAGUACUACUAAAACUAUUCUUCCGUUACCCAUUUUAUACCAAAAUGUUAUAUCGGCUAAAAAGAUUCCAACAAAUAAUAGAUUGUAUGUCAUAUAAACUUUUUUAAAAAAUCAUUAAUUAAUUAAUUUUUAUAUUUUUCUUUCUUAUUCCUUUAUAAUGUUUGACAAUGUCGAUAAUGCUUGAAAUUGGCCCACUUGAGGUCGAAACGCUGGUGAUUAAUUUUGGUUUUGAAUUUCACCACCUACUUCUCUGACCAGAGGGGAUAGAAAAAGUUCUUUCAUCGAUCAAAACUAGUAUUUUCAAAAACAGACUGAUUCUACGGGUUGGAUAGGAAAUCGGUUUGGAAAUAGGGGUUGAAUCGAUUGACUUGCGAGCAAAAACAAAUCGGUUGAACUAAGCUAAAAAAACUGGUUGAAUAAGUUCUCUCUUUUUAUAUAUAUAUAAAUAAUAAUAGGCUUUGUUUUUACUACAUGUCAAUUUUUAAUUGGUUAAUUUUUUUUUCAUAUAAAUUGAACAAUUUGACUAAUGACGGAGGUACCAAAUUAUAGUCUAGGUACCAAUUUAUGGGUUAAGCCUAUUUAUAAAAUAGACUUUUGACAGUUUGACUAAUGGCGGUAGUAACUUGGGAAAAAAAAGUAGUUUAUGUACCACUUGUGACAAAAAAUAAGAUUAGGUACCAACAUGGGAAAAUGAGUAUAAUUUAGAUACCGAUUUAUGAGUUAAGCCUAAUAUAUUUGUCGCAUAAUUUUUUGAAAAUAACAGAACUUAAUAAAUUUAACGGUUAUUGUUUGGUGAUUACUAAAAUUUUAAAAUUUGAAAAGUACAUGAACUAAAAAUGACCAAAUUAAAAUAUAAAUAUUAAGUCCACAACUUUUGCAAAGUACAAGGACUAAUUGCAGAAAUUAACCUAAAUUUCAUAUGGGUCAAUUACAAAAAUAAUCACUAAACUAUCCCUUUGGUUCUAUUCUAGUCACUCAACUAUAUAGGUGCUCAUGAGCUUGGCCAGGUCAGGCCUAAGUAAGGGUGAGCAUUCGAUUGAAUCGAAAAUAGGGUUUGGGAUAGAUGGGAGGGGAAUAAAAGUUUUAGGGGAAAAGUGGGAGGGAGUAAAAAUUUUGGGAGAAAAUAAAAGGUUUUGAGGGUUUUGGGGAGUAAAAUAUUGAGAAAAAAUAAAUAGGAGAGUAAAAUUUUGGUGGGAAAUGGAUUUUGGGUAGAUUGGGGGGUUGGGAGGGGAGGGGAGUAAAAGUUUUGGGGGGAAAGUGGGAAGGAGUAAAAGUUUUGAGGGAAAAGUAAAAAAGUUUGGGAGUUUGGGGUAAAAAUGUAAAAUAUUAUAGUUUGAUAUUCGAAUUAUUCGAAUUAUUCGAGUUAUUCGAAUUCGAAAACUCAACUCGAUUCGAACUCGAAAUUCGAAAAAAAAUUCGAGUUGAUUCGAAUAACUCGAUUCGUUUAACUCGAAAUUUGAAUUUUUUUCAAUUUUUUCGAGUCGAAUCGAGUUUUGCUCACCCCUAGUUGCAAGUGCAACUUGCGUGGUGGCUGCCAGAAGGACUGAAUCGUAAAUGUAGCAAAAGUUUUGGGGCAAAAAUGUAAUUUUGAGAAAGUUUAGGGUCAAAAUAUAAUUUUAAAAAAUAUUAAGGGUUAAAAUAUAAUUUUAUAAAAAUUUAAGGGUCAAAAUGAAAUUUUAGAAAAGUUCAGAGGUCAAAAUACAAUUUUUAAAUUUUUUUUAAAAAAAAAAACACGAAAUUAUUCCCACAAAAUUAAGUGAUUACACGUAACUUUUCAAUGUAAAAGAAAAAAAAGACUGUAACACCAAUGUUGUGGUGUUAUUUGUUGCCUAUAAAUACCAUUCCUAUUCUUCAUCUUCCUCUGCAAACAUAACAUGGCCCCCUAUCUCUUUCUCUGCCUAUUCCUCUUCUUUCCCCGUCUUUAUGCUUCUUUUUCUUCUUCAGGAUAUCAGUCCUGCUCUUCAUUAAUCCAGUUUAAGGACUCUUUUUCCAUAACAGAGGAUGCUUCUUCUGAUUGCAAUGAGAUUGCUGGCCUUAAAUCUUAUCCCAAGACAAAUUCAUGGAAGGAGGGUACAGAUUGCUGCUCAUGGGAUGGGGUCACUUGUGACCACCUAAAUGCUCAUGUUAUUGCCCUUGACUUGAGCUGCAGUUGGCUAUAUGGCAACUUCCCUUCCAAUACCACUCUCUUCCUUCUUCCUCACCUUCAAAAACUCAACCUUGCCUACAAUGAUUUUAAUCUUUCCAAAAUUCCAUCCGAGUUCGGUCGGUUUACAAGCCUAUUCUACCUCAACCUUUCCCAUACAGAGUUUGAAGGAGAAGUCCCAUCCCAAGUCUCCCACCUGUCAAAAUUGGUUUCACUUGAUCUCUCCUCUCGGAUUGAUUACUCUGGGCAAGUUACAAUUGACAAACAUGCUCUGGAGGGACUUGUUCACAACCUAACCGAGGUCAGACAUCUGUUUUUGGAUGGAAUGGACAUGUCUUCUGUUAAUGCUCAUGUCUUCAUGAAUCUAUCCUCUUCUCUAAGGUCUCUCAGUCUUGCUUAUUGUGAUUUGCAAGGAAAAUUCCUAAAAAACAUUAUUGAUUUGCCAAACCUCAAUCUCCUCAACUUGGGACGUAACCAAAACCUCAAUCUUGAUCCUUUGAAGUUCAAUCGGAGCAGCAAUCUCGAACAUUUGGAUCUGUCGUGGAUGUCCUUCUCUACAGAAUCCGUUAAUUCAGUUGAUAAUCUACAGGCCUUAAAGUACUUAGAUCUAUCAGGAAAUUCUUUCUUUCAAGGAUUGUCUGUCUCAAUCACAAAUUUAUCAUCUUUGGAGCAAUUGAUAAUUUCAGGCGCAAAUUUUUUUGGAGGAUUGCCUGACUCGAUGGGGAAUCUUGUGUCCUUGAAGUUUUUAUUUCUCUCCGAUUCCAACUUUUCAGGACCGCUUCCAAGAUCACUGGGAAACCUCUUUCAACUCAAGUGUUUAGACUUGAGAUCAAACAAAUUGAGUGGACAAAUUCCAUUGUCAAUUCUAAACCUAACGCAGUUGGAAUACUUGGAAAUAUCUGAAAAUUCUUUAGAAGGUUCCAUUCCAGAUGAGGUAACCGCUUUUCCUAAUCUAAUAUAUUUAUACUUAUCUGACAAUUUACUCAGUGGAACACUUCCGUCAUGGUUGUAUACUGCUCCCUCAUUAGACAGUAUAGGUCUCUCUCAAAAUCAAUUCAGUGGGCAUAUCAAAGAAUUCCAAUCCAAAUCACUAGAAUUGAUAGCGUUAGAGAGUAAUAAACUCCAAGGUCCUCUUCCAUCUUCAAAAUUCCAACUUCUCAAUCUUACCCACCUCUCUUUAUCCUCAAGUAAUCUCAGUGGUGUCAUAGAGUUUCGCAUGUUCUCAAACCUUCCAAAUCUAAAACUUCUUGACCUUUCAUACAACAGCCUAUCCUUAGCAUCUAAUACUACUUCUUGUGUUAACCAUAUAUUGCCUAAUCUUACAGACUUACGUUUGUCAUCUUGCAAUCUUAGUGAAUUCCCCCAAUUUUUGAAAGGGCUUAAAAGUUUGAAAAGGUUAGACCUCUCUUGCAACAAAAUUGAAGGCAAGAUUCCACAGUGGAUGCAAGAGGUGGGGAAUGGCUCUUUGACUUACUUAAACGUAUCUCACAACUAUUUGACAGAAGUUGAGCACUUUCCACGGAAGAAUAUUGAAGUUCUUGACUUAAGCUCCAAUUUGAUCAGUGGAAAUCUUCCGAUUCCAGCUUCGACCAUCAAUGUCUUUUUGAUCUCAAAUAAUAGUUUCAAUGGAGAGGUCUCUUCUUUAAUAUGCAAUGCCAGUUAUCUUAAAAUUCUUGAUUUGUCCCACAAUAACUUGAGUGGAACAAUUCCGCAAUGUUUUGGAAAUUUGAGCAACAGCCUUCAAUUCUUGAAUCUGAAGAAGAACAAGUUCUAUGGGACGAUUCCUCCAACAUUUGCAGAGGGAUGCCAAUUGACUAAUUUCAACAUAAAUGGAAAUCUGUUAGAAGGGCCUUUGACACCAUCCAUCCUUAAUUGUAAUGAACUGGAAGUGCUAGAUCUUGGUAACAACAAGAUCAAUGAUACAUUUCCUCAUUGGUUGGGCAGUCUUCCAUUUUUGCAAGUUCUUGUAUUGAAGUCAAAUCAUAUGCAUGGUUCCUUGCGUGUCAAUAGCUCCAAGUCUAGCCCUUUUUUCUCUAAAAUCCAAAUUUUUGAUCUCUCGAGUAAUUAUUUUUCUGGACCUCUACCUGUGAGAUACAUCAACAGCUUCAAGGCUAUCAUAAAUCUAGAUAAGAUUGGGAGUACAAUGUCGUACAUGGGGGUGUAUGCUCAGAGAGGUAGUGGCUUCUAUACCUAUUCCAUUGGAAUUGUUAUGAAAGGACAAGAUAUGGAAUUGGUGAAAAUUUUCACCAUGUGGAUGAUCAUUGAUCUAUCAAACAAUCAGUUUGAAGGGUGUAUUCCAGAGGUUUUUGGGAAGCUUAACUUACUGAAAGGGCUCAACCUUUCUCAUAACAACCUUCAUGGUGGUAUCCCCACCUCAAUAGGGAAUUUGACAAGUCUUGAAUGGUUGGACCUAUCUUCAAACAGGUUGUCUGGGACGAUUCCAAAUAGAUUGGCAGAUCUGGCAUUUCUUUCGUCCUUCAAUGUUUCUGAUAAUCAGCUCCAUGGUCAGAUUCCUCAAGGCAAACAGUUCAACACAUUUGGAAAUGAUUCAUAUGAAGGAAACAAGGGAUUAUGUGGAUUUCCAGUCUCGAAAGGUUGCAACAUCAUUGAGCCACCACCUCCAAAUGUGCUUGAAAAAGAUGGCUCAAAAUCAAACAUUACUUUUGGUUGGAAAGUGGUGUUGAUAGGUUAUGGAUGCGGAGUGGUGUUGGGAAUGUCCGUGGGAUAUGUUGUUUUCCAAACUGGUAAGCCGAAAUGGUUGGUGAAUUUGGUUGAAAUCCAACAUGAGAAGAAGCAAAGACGAAAGUCAAAGAAAGGCAAUCGAAGCAAUAGACGAAGAAGGAUCUAAGUACAGCAAAUGAUGUUCAAGAAUUAGUGUUGUAUUUUCAAAAUUUCUUGUUCUGUAGACCGUUUUGCCCAUGGUGAAGGGUUGCAUUGGUAUGUGUAUGUCUUUAUUAUUGUACCAAUUCCUGUCUUUCAUUGCAUUUCGUACUAUCUGUAAUGGUUUGUUUGAGUGUAACAUUUUGUAUGGUAUUGUUGUUUAUGUCUUCUUUCAUGACUUUCCAUUUAGUCUCGAUAAUCUUUGCUACUGCUCAGUAAAGGAGGAAGGAGAAUAAAAUGUCUCAAUUUAUGUCAAUUUAUGCUUGCAGAUUUGACGUGGAAUGUUGUUGAACUGAAGGUUGUUUAACUUUUGUCUUCUAAGCUAUACAUGAACAUAUGGGAUGUGACAAAUAUUAUUUUAGCUUUUGCUUAUGAAAUGUUGAAAUAGUGAGUUUAUAUUCCUUGAUUAAUAAAAAGUGAGAUGGAGAUAGUCAAACCUCAAUUUCCACAUUGAAAUUGAAUCCAAACAUUAAUUGGUGGAUCACAUGUCUUGUAUUCUGUCAAGUUAAAGGGAGUGAAUAGAGCACCAUUCUUCUUCUGCGUGGAAAAUAAGUUGGCGUUAUGCCAAUUUUCACAUUCAUACAUAUAAAGGAAGCAAGACCAAGUCAAUAUACUUUGUAAUCUCAUCAUUUCUUCUUCAUUCUUUAGGGAGUUCAAAUGAAAUACAAAUUUUUGGUAAAUCAACUCUUCUUUUUUAUGAAUAAAAAUUAUAUGGUAAAAAGGAAGUGGUGUUAAUAAUAAUAAUAAUAAUAAUAAUAACAACAACAAUACAAAACUAAUAAAGCAAUUUAGUCUAUGAUUUGCACAAUGAUUAAUGUAGCGACCUAAAAAUUUAGGCACGAGCGCUAAUUGAAGUGAUUAUUGAAAAUUUGAAAACAGAAUCUCGAUUUUAUUUGAAAAAGGAGUCGCUAUCGAUCUUUUUUUCUAGGUGUGAUCGGACACCUAAUAAAUUCUCUUUUUAGAAGAAAAAUUUAUUUUUAAAUUUUUCUAAAAAUAGGUAAUUUUUCUAAAAAAUUUAGGGGUCAAAAUGUAAUUUUUUAUUUUUUGAAUUUUUUUUGAAAUUUAAAAAAAUAUAUAUAUAUAAACACGACAAAACCCGGACAAAAUUUAGUGCUUACAAUUAAUACCUAAUUUGAUCCUUGAAUUAUAGUUCAAAAAGUAUUUUUAUAUUUUUAAAUUUUCAUAAAAAUAAUUGUAUCAAAAUUUAAAAAUCUUAAAAAUAAAUACAAAUUUUAUAUAAAAAAUCAAUUGGCCCAAGAAAAAAAAUUUACCAACUAAAUUUUCCAUAUCCAAACUCAUAAAUAAUUCUUCUUUGAACUUUCACAAAAAAAUAUUAAAUACCCUUUCACUUUAUCAUUAUAAAUAUAAUAUACAUUUUUUUCCUUCUUUUUCAUGUAGAUCAGCUUCAACUCUACUAUUCUUAGAUCAUUAUAAAUAUAAUAUAUGUUUUAUUUACAGCUGAAAGUAAAACCUUGAGUUGAAAUUUGGCAGAAAAAAUUGUGGGUUUGGAGAAGAAGAAGAGCACUUUGUAUUUAAAUUUAAAAAAUCAAAAAUUUCAAAACUGAAAGUUACUCAAAACCCUAAACAAUCUAAUAAUUGGAGUUAUAGAAAAGAAAUAUGAGUUUAGAAAUAAAUAAAACAAAAUAAAUUUGCAAAACAAUUUCUAGGCAAAACAACAUGAAGUUGUUGAUGUGAUUGAAGGUGUUCUUCAACGGUGGAAAACAAAUAGAAUUUAAUUUGAAAAUUUUAAGAUUUUUUAAAUAAUAAAAAAUUGCAUUAGUUUAAAAACUUUAGUUUUAAUUUUAAGAUAUUUUUAGAUUUAUACAUAUUUAAUUAUUUUUAGAUUUUUUAGAUUUAAAUGAAGUUACAAUUAUUUUUGAAAACGGUACCUCUACAUUUUUGAAGGUACAAGGAAAUAAAAUAUGGAUUUGGUAUCGAUACUUCGGCCCGAGUAUCAAUGCUCGAGGUAAGUUUAUUGAUACCUUGCGAAAGGUACCAAUAAUUUUUUUAUAUUUUGAUAUUUGGUAAGAAACAUAAUGUUAGUUUGGUAUCGAUUUUCCAUGAGAUAUCAAUACCACUUAAAGAAAAUAUCGAUAGCCCUAGGACAGUAUCAAUACCUAUGUAACAGUUUUAGAAAUUUUGCAACUGGGCCCAUUUGUAGGUUUGAUUGAUGUUUUUAAUACCCUUAGUGUAUGUAUGGCAUGUUUUAAUGAUAAGAAGUGGUUGAACGACUACAACUCAUACGUAGGAUUGAAUAAAGAUGAUGAUUGGUUACUUGUGAAAUUGUUUGCUAAGUAAAUGAUGCAUGAUGGUGGUGUAACAUCCUAAUAUUUCGGCUUGGCGACUGAGCCGAGUAUAGGGUGUUACAAUGUGUUCCACAAGUUUCAUCAGCAAUCCUCAAUGCAUCUAAUUAAUUGGGAAAAUUGAGAAAAUAGAAAUGGUCAAGAAGAUGUAACAUGAUGAGUACCUCUUUGCACCGUCAAGAAUUUUAGUAAGUCUCCAAAUUCAUUCAUUAACCCUCCUUCCUGUUAAAUAUUUAUCAUUAAUUUUAUUAAAUUAAAACAUAAAUUUUUAUAAAUCUAAAGUGUAAUUUAUGAGCCGGGUUAUUCAAUCCAAAAAAAAAAAAUCAGCCAAGACUCUUUGGACAAAUUGCUUGAGUAAAACCAGAAAAUGAAUAACAAUUUUGAUGGAUUUUGAUUACAAAUGAAUUGAGGCAUAAUGCCAUUACAUAUACCAUGCAUUCAGCUGGUCAAAAUGAGACAGACAUCACCUAAUCAUCAACCUAACUCCACUAAGUAGCCUUGAAACUUAUGAAAACAUAACUUGCACACAUAGGUACGCUGAUUUAUCAAUCUAUCAGCACCUAAUUACAUCAAACAUGUUACCAACUUAGUUCAAAUCAAACUAAGCAAGAAAACAUUAACUUAAAGUAACAAAAAAUGAACAGCAGCAUGAACUUCAGCUGCAACUGCAUGGCUGGAGCAGCUCUGCUUCUUGUCUGCAUGCCGGCCAACUUCAACAAGAUCUGAGUAAGGCUAAUUUGUCCAGAAGUUGCAUCAUGCAAAACUAUUUAAUGGCUUUUAGGUAGCUUUGUCAACGGCAAAAAAAAUGAGAAAAUUAGUCAAAUUUCUUCCAUUUUUAUCUUUAAAAAUUUGGUUUUGUGCGUCAACAUGAAGUACAUGUGGCACGUACAUGCAAACUGUCUGAUUAUUUAGACAUCUACACUAGUUUUUAAAGGUAAAAAUAGAAGAAAAUUUUAAUAAACAAGACCAAUUAACUCUUUUAUCUAGCAUACAAGAAUUAUUCUAUACAUCUUUCAAUAAAUGGGGAAAAUUACAUCCACACAUUCUCCACAUUUCAGACCUGUAAUUCUAGCCAAUUGGUCACAAGCAUACAUGUCCCAUUUCAAUAUUCAAAGGUCUGCUUUGAUUAUUUUAUUUUGUGUUCUGUUGUCGCCCCAAAAUAGUUCCACUUGGCACAUCUCCAUACAUUUCAAACAUACCAAAAAUCUGCUGGCAAGCAAUACAAGACAAGUUCCAGCCACUUCAACAUUUGGCUCCUGUUCAUUGCCAAAAGAAAAAAAUAAACAUUUUUUAUAUUUAAUUGAAGGUCAAAAACACAUAAAAAGACAACCGGACAGCUAGUAUUUCAUCCAAUCUUCACAACAUGUCUGUGUGCGUGCAGAUCCUUCACUUCCCAGAAGCCUUUAGCGCGUAUUCUAUUAUAAAAUCACAGAUUACUAUUUAAAUGAUAAAUAAAUUAUUUAAAGUAUGAAAAUAUACAUGUUUUUUUUUAUUGGCUUAAGGGCGUAAAAAAUCCUUAAAUUUUUUUUUUAAAAAAGACAAUUAAAUUUCUCCUUUUUUUACACUCAAUUGAGCACUUAAAGUUUUAAAAUGCAUCAAAAAUACUCUCAAACUUCUUCCGAAAAAACAAUUAAAUCCUUAUUUUCUUUCCCACUCAAUUGGGUGCUUGAACUUUUUCAUAAUAUUUUUUUGGGCGAUUUAAUGAACCAUACAAGUUUCAAGGCUAAAAGAGGCAAAAGAAAAAGAAAAAGAAAAAGAAGCUAAAAUGACUUUUUGUUUGUAAAGUCAAAAAAUACCAAAUAAAUCAUUAUGUCUUUUUAGUUUUAAUUUUUUACUUGAUUAAAAGAGAAAUAAUUAACGAAUGAAAAAUAGCUAUUCCUAAAUAAAUUUAUCAGAAUUUAUAACAAAUGAGAUUUUAGAUUUGAAGUAUGAGGUUAUAUAUAUUAUAUAAGUAUACCUGUUUUUAUGGAAUCGGUGGAUUAUAUUUUCGACAGUCUUCUUCCCCAAGCGUAGUGAAUAGAGCACAAUUUUGUUCUUUUGGAUGGAAAAGAAUUUCUACAUUAAUUAGAUUUGGUUGACAGGCAAAUGAAUAGAUACACACAUUUUUUACGUGUUAUUAAGGAAGAAGACUAAGUCAAUCUACUUUGUAAUCUCAUCAAUCUUAAUUUUUUUAGUUGUUUAGGGAGUUCAAAUGAAAUACAAGAUUUUGCUAUAAAAAAAAAAAGCAUCCAAUUUUAAGAAUGAAAAAUAUACGGUAAAAAGAAGACUAAUGGUUGUUGAUGAUUGUGAAAAAUACAAAAAUUAUUUGUUGCCUAUAAAUACCAUUCCUAUCCUUCAUCUUCCUCUACAAACAUAACAUGGCCUCCUAUCUCUUUCUCUGCCUAUUCCUCUUCUUUCCCCAUCUUUAUGCUUCUUUUUCUUCUUCAGGAUCUCACUCCUGCUCUUCGCUAAUCCAGUUCAAGAAUUCUUUUUCCAUCACUCAGACAGAUGUUGCUUCUUCUUAUUGCGAUGAUCAAUCUUAUCCCAAGACAGAUUCAUGGAAGGAGGGUACAGAUUGCUGCUCAUGGGAUGGGGUCACUUGUGACCACCUAAAUGCUCGUGUUAUUGUCCUUGACUUGAGUUGCAGUUGGCUAUAUGGCAACUUCCCUUCCAAUACCACUCUCUUCCUUCUUCCUCACCUUCAAAAACUCAACCUUGCCUACAAUUAUUUUAAUCUUUCCAAAAUUCCAUCCGAGUUCGGUCGGUUUAUAAGCCUAUUCUACCUCAACCUUUCCAAUACAGGGUUUGCAGGAGAAGUCCCAUCCCAAGUCUCCCACCUGUCAAAAUUGGUUUCACUUGAUCUCUCCUGUCGGGCUGAUGCACAAACAAUUGACAAACAUGCUCUGGAGGGACUUGUUCACAACCUAACCGAGGUCAGACAUCUGUUUUUGGAUGGAAUCAACAUGUCUUCUGUUAAUGCUCAUGUCUUCAUGAAUCUAUCCUCUUCUCUAAGGUCUCUCAGUCUUGCUUUUUGUGAUUUGCAAGGAAAAUUCCCAAAAAACAUUUUUGAUUUGCCAAACCUCAAUCUCCUCAACUUGGGAGGCAACCAAAACCUCAAUCUUGAUCCUUUGAAGUUCAAUCGGAGCAGCAAUCUUGAACAUUUGGAUCUGUCGUGGAUGUCCUCCUCUACAGAAAUUGAUUCAGUUGAUAAUCUACAGGCCUUAAAGUACUUAGAUCUAUCAGGAAAUUCUUUCUUUCAAGGAUUGUCUGUCUCAAUCACAAAUUUAUCAUCUUUGGAGUACUUGAUUCUUAGAGGCGCAAAUGUUUUUGGAGGAUUGCCUGACUUGACGGGGAAUCUUGUGUCCUUGAAGUUUUUAGAUCUCUCCCAGUCCAACUUAUCAGGACCGGUUCCAAGAUCACUGGGAACCUCUUGCAACUCACUCAUUUAGACUUGUCGCAGAACCAAUUGAGUGGACAAAUUCCAAGAUUAUUGGGGAACCUCUUUCAACUCACUCAUUUAGACUUGUCGUGGAACCAAUUGAGUGGACAAAUUCCAAGAUCAUUGGGGAACCUCUUGCAACUCACUCAUUUAGAUUUGUCGAUGAACCAAUUGAGUGGACAAAUUCCAAGAUCAUUGGGGAUCAUUGGGGAACAUCUUGCAACUCACUCAUUUACUUGUCGGUGAACCAAUUGAGUGGACAAAUUCCAAGAUCAUUGGGGAACCUCUUGCAACUCACUCAUUUAGACUUGUCGGUGAACCAAUUGAGUGGACAAAUUCCAAGAUCAUUGGGGAACCUCUUGCAACUCACUCAUUUAGACUUAUUGGUGAACCAAUUGAGCGGACAAAUUCCAAGAUCAUUGGGGAACCUCUUGCAACUCACUCAUUUACAGUUGCCGGUGAACCAAUUGAGUGGAAAAAUUCCAAGAUCAUUGGGGAACCUCUUGCAUCUCACUCAUUUACACUUGCCGAUGAACCAAUUGAGUGGACAAAUUCCAUUGUCAAUUCUAAACCUAACGCAGCUGGAAUACUUUGUAAUAUCUAAAAAUUCUUUAGAAGGUUCCAUUCCAGAUGAGGUAACCGCUUUUCCUAAUCUAAUAUAUUUACACUUAAAUGACAAUUUACUCAAUGGAACAUUUCCGUCAUGGUUGUUUACUGCUCCCUCCUUAAAGGAAAUAUAUCUCUCUCAAAAUCAAUUCAGUGGGCAUAUCAAAGAAUUCCAAUCCAAAUCACUAGAAUUGAUAGCGUUACAGAAUAAUAAACUCCAUGGUUCUCUUCCAUCUUCAAUAUUCCAACUUCUCAAUCUUACCGACCUCGUUUUAUCCUCAAAUAAUCUUAGUGGUGUCAUAGAGUUUCGCAUGUUCUCAAACCUUCCAAAUCUAAAACAUCUCGACCUUUCAUAUAACAGCCUAUCCUUAACAUCUAAUACUACUUCUACUGUUAAUCAUAUAUUGCCUAAUCUUACAGGCUUACUUUUGUCAUCUUGCAAUCUUGGUGAAUUCCCCCAAUUUUUAAAAGGGCUUAAAAGUUUGGAAAGCUUAGACCUCUCUUGCAACAAAAUUGAAGGCAAGAUUCCACAGUGGAUGCAAGAGGUGGGGAAUGUCUCUUUGACUUACUUAAACGUAUCUCACAACUCUUUGACGAAGUUGAGCACUUUCCAUGGAAGAAUAUUGAAUUUCUUGACUUAAGCUCCAAUUUGAUCAGUGGAAAUCUUCCGAUUCCAGCUUCGACCAUCAAUGUCUUUUUGAUCUCAAAUAAUAGUUUCAAUGGAGAGGUCUCUUCUUUAAUAUGCAAUGCCAGUUCUCUUCGAAUUCUUGAUUUGUCCCACAAUAACUUGAGUGGAACAAUUCCGCAAUGUUUUGGAAAUUUGAGCAACAGCCUUGAAUUCUUGAAUCUGAAGAAGAACAUGUUUUAUGGGACGAUUCCUCCAACAUUUGCAAAGGGAUGCCAAUGGAGUAAUUUCAACUUAAAUGGAAAUUUGUUAGAAGGGCCUUUGACACCAUCCAUCCUUAAUUGUAAUGGUCUGGAAGUGCUAGAUCUUGGUAACAACAAGAUCAAUGAUACAUUUCCUCAUUGGUUGGGAAAUCUUCCAUAUUUGCAAGUUCUUGUAUUGAAGUUAAAUCAUAUGCAUGAUUCCUUGCGUGUCAAUAGCUCCAAGUCUAGCCCUUUUUUCUCUAAAAUCCAAAUUUUUGACCUCUCAAGUAAUUAUUUUACUGGACCCCUACCAGUGAGAUACAUCAACAGCUUCAAGGCUAUCAUAAAUCUAGAGAAGAUUGGGAGUACAUUGUUGUACAUGGGGGUGUAUGAUCGGAUUGCUAGUGGCUUCUAUACCUAUUCCAUUGGAAUUGUUAUGAAAGGACAAGAUAUGGAAUUGGUGAAAAUUUUCACCAUGUGGAUGAUCAUUGAUCUAUCAAACAAUCAGUUUGAAGGGGGUAUUCCAAAGGUUAUUGGGAAGCUUAACUUACUGAAAGGGCUCAACCUUUCUCAUAAUAACCUUAAUGGUGGUAUCCCCACCUCAACAGGGAAUUUGACAAGUCUUGAAUGGUUAUGUAGUUUUAGAUGUUAAGGAUAGGCUGUUAUAUGAAAGGUCGCGAUGUUUUAGAUUUGGAAGGUUUGAGAACAUGCGAAGCUCUAUGACACCACUAAGAUUAUUUGAGGAUAAGCUGAGGGAGGUAAGAUUGAGAAGUUGGAAUAUUGAAGAUGGAAGAGGACCUUCGAGUUUAUUAUUUUCUAGAUCUAAAUAUUCUAGUGAUUUGGUUUGGAAUUCUUUGAUAUGACGGAAGUGUUCCAUUGAGUAAAUUGUCAAAUAACACUAAAUAUAUUAGAUUCGGAACAGCGGUUACCUCAUCUGGAAUAGAACCUUCUAAAGAAUUUUCAGAUAUUUCCAAGUAUUCCAACUGCGUUAGGUUUAGAAUUGACAAUGGAAUUUGUCCACUCAAUUUGUUUGAUCCCAAGUCUAAAUGAGUGAGUUGCAAGAGGUUUCCAAGUGAUCUUGGACCGGUCCUGAUAAGUUGGAAUCGGAGAGAACUAAAAACUUCAAGGACACAAGAUUCCCCAUCGAGUCAGGCAAUCCUCCAAAAAAAUUUGCGCCUCUAAUAAUCAAGUACUCCAAAGAUGAUAAAUUUGUGAUUGAGGCAGACAAUCCUUGAAAGAAAGAAUUUCCUGAUAGGUCUAGGUACUUUAAGGCCUGUAGAUUAUCAACCGAAUCAAUGAAUUCUGUAGAGAAGGACAUCCACGACAGAUCCAAAUGUUCGAGAUUGCUGCUCCGAUUGAACUUCAAAGUAUCAAGGUUGAGGUUUUGGUUACGUCCCAAGUUGAGGAGAUUGAGGUUUGGCAAAUCAAAAAUGUUUUUUGGGAAUUUUCCUUGCAAAUCACAACCAGCAAGACUGAGAGACCUUAGAGAAGAGGAUAGAUUCAUGAACACAUGAGCAUUAACAGAAGACAUGUUGAUUCCAUCCAAAAACAGGUGUCUGACCUCGGUUAGGUUGUGAACAAGUCCCUCCAGAGCAUAUUUGUCAAUUGUUUGUUCACCAAACACAGAGGAGGAGAGAUCAAGUGAAACCAAUUUUGACAGGUGGGAGACUUGGGAUGGGACUUCUCCUGCAAACCAUGUAUAAGAAAGCUUGUAAACCGACCGAACUCGGACCUAUCUUCAAACAUAUUAAAUACCCAUUCACUUCAAUUCUACUAUUCUUAAAUCAUUAAAGUUUUGUGGAAAAUAUGCUUCUUGGAUAAAAAUUAUUCAACACACAUGCCUUGAAUUUUAUGCAAUAAAAUAAAUCAAUAUAGGCCACACAUGCUUUGAAUUUUUAAGUAGUCCACAAUUUUGUUCGUUUGUGUGCAAGAUUCUACAUUGCUUGACAGCCAUACAUACUAAGUAAAUAGACACCCACAUUGUUUACGUAUUAUGAGGAAGAAGAUUAAGUCAAUCUACUUUGUAAUCUCAUCAAUCUUAAUUUUCUCAGUUGUUUAGGGAGUUCAAAUGAAAUACAAAAUUUUGGAAAAAAAAUGUAUCCAAUUUUGUGAAUGAAAAAUAUAUGGUAAAAAGGAUUUGGUAUGGAUACUUCGGCCCGGGUAUCAAUACUCAGAGUAAGUUAAAGCAUCAGUGGAUGAAGAAGGAUCUGGUUGGUGCAAAUGAAGUUAAAGCAUUUGUGCUGUGUCUUCAUAAUUUCUUGUUUAGUAGUCUGUCAGAAAGUUUUUCCUAUGGUGAAAAGUUGCAUUGGUAUGUGUCUGUUUUUAUGAUUGUACCAAUUCCUCUGUAUUUCAUUGCAUUUCGUACUAUUUGUAAGGGUUUAGUUCGAGUGUAACAUCUUGUAUGGUGCAACUAUGUGUGUCUUCUUUCUUGAAUUUCAAUUUUUAGUAAACAUUGUACUGCUCACCAUAAAAAAGGAUACAUGUAGAAUUACAAAAGAUUCAAUUAUUCAAGUUUGAGUUGCAUUUAUAAAGACGUGGCGAUGAGAAUUCAUGAACGUAAGGUAUGGUUUGAGCCCUUUUGCCAUAUGCAUUUAUGUUGCAGAUGUUCAAAUAUUAAUUUAAGAGUAAUAUUUACAAUAGCAUUGCAGAGUAACAUAUUUAAGAUUGGAUUACACAGUCAAAAGAUUGCAGCAACGAUGAGAUUAAUACAAUUACAGGAAUUGGUAUCCUACAUGGCUUUUAGGCACGUAGCUUCAUUGACGAUGAGAUAAUUUUAGGAGGAAGCAACAGCAAGUGUGAAGUCAAUAGACAAUUGAUAGUCUUUAUUCUUUUGUGUGGAAAAUUAUUUGGGACCAAACUUAACGUGUUAUAAGGAAGAAGACUUUGUAAUCUCAUGAAUGUUAAUUAUUUUACUUCUUUGGUAAAAAAAAAGGAAUUAAUUUUAUGAAUGAAAAAUAUAUGGUAAAAAGGAAAUAGUUGUUGAUCACUAACAACAUGAUGAUUGUGGAAAUACAAAAAUUCCCAUAUAUGUGUUGAAUUCUGCAUAAUGUAAAUGUCCCGCAUUGCAUGUGAAUUCUGCAAUAGACCAAAUUUUACGUGUUAUAGUCCUUUAAACUGAGUUAAUGAAAAGUAAUCAUUCUUAUCAAAAUUAGUUAUACUCUUAAUUUAUAAUAAAAGAAAGAGUAAUUUGAGUUUAACUCAAAGGUUAAUAUGUCAUCAAUGGGCGAUGGCAUGGCGCUACCAUGUCAGCGAUUAUUUUCUUCUUUGAGUUAAGGUGAUUUCACCAAUUUUAGUUUACUUUUUAACUUCAAUUUAGGUUUAUGCUUAUUAGCUUCGAAGAUUCUAUGUGGGUGCCACAAUCAAAGGGUGAGUAAAAAGGGUUAAAAAUAAUUUUUUUUAAAAUAUUUUUAUUUUUAUUAAAAAUUUAGAAUUAGAAUUAGACAAAUUUUGUAAAUGUUAAGGGCUAACUUUAUUGAAUUUUUUUUUUCAGAAUUCGAACUAAAAUGACAAAUUUUGUAAAAAGCGCUAAAUUUGUUGAAUUUUUUAUAUUUAAGAUCAAAUUGAUAGAAUGUGUAAAUAUUAGAGGUUAAAUUCGUUAUUAGAUAAAAAAAAUCCACAUCAGCUUUCCGUCACUCAUCUAACGACAACUAAAGGGAGAGUGAUUAAAAUAUUUAAUUUCAAAAAGUUUAGCAACUAAUUGGAAAAUUUAAUAGUUGGGUGACUAUUUUUAUAGUUUACAACUUUUUUGGUCACAUGACUAUUAAGUGACACUUUUUAGUUGGUAUAAUAAUAAUUUUUAUCCUCAAUUUUUAUACUUUCUGUCAAUUUAACUCUAAUUAUAUAAAAUGAUUACAAAAGUGAAAUUCUUUUUAAAUUUUACAAAAUUCUAAAAAUUAAAAAUUAAAUGAAAGUAGAUAAAAAUUUCAAAUAUAAAUAAAGUGAGAGAAAAUGAGGGAAAUAUUAUUUUUAAACCCUCCAAAUUUUCUUUGUAUUAUUUGUAAAGAAAUAUCUAAUAUCCAUUCUUUUAGAAAACAUAGAAAAAAGUAAAAAAAAAAAAGAUUAAGUAAAAUUAUCUGUAUAUAAUCUGCUUUUAUAAUUUGGGUUUUUAAAAAUAAAUUUAAAUGAAUUGAAAAUUCGAAUUGAGUUUGAAAAAGAAAAUUUUGUGGUAUAUUUUAUAUUUUUGCUAGAAAAAUGGCAUCAAAGUUGAUUUUGUAAGCUUUUGUAAUAUAGUUACGGAUGUUCUUCAAGGGCAUGAAACUCAACUUGAAAAUUUUACUAAUUUGGUUGCAAAAAACAUUGAGGAAGCGUAUAAUGAUCUAACCUUUUUUUUGUUUUGUUCUGUUUUUAAUUUGUUAUGGGAUUCUAUUGAAUGAUAAUUUUUUUUAUUUCCCAUACAUAUUAGUUCUUCAACAACAACAUAUUCGAGAUUUUAUUUUUCUAGAAUUUUUAUAUAGAAGUUUAUAUUUUUUAAAAAUAAUUUUGAGUUUUUUUUAUAAUUUUUAUACAGAAGUUUAUAUUUUUUAAAUUGGCAAAAAAAAUUAUAAAAACAAAAUACUAGAAUUGUUAUUAUAGCAACUACAAAGUGUCAUUUAACAAUAGGGUGACCAAAUUGUAACUUUUUUCGUUAAGUGACCAAAACGAAGAUUUACCCAUAGUUCAGUGGCUAAUUAUGUAGUUUACCUUUUCAUAAUUAAAAAAUAGUUGUUAAGUUUUUCUUGUAUUAGAUAACAUUUUAGAUGGUAAAAACCCUCUUUAGUCCCUCUCAAUUUUGAUAUUAAGUAAAUUGGUCCAUUUUAAAAAAAAUUAAAGCAAUUUAAUCUUUGUUAAUUUCGAAAGUGAGCAACUAAGAACAAUUAAUCACAAUGUCAAUAUUUUCCAUCAAUUGUACAUAUUUUUAUUGGUAUAAUAACAAGUUUAUAAACUUGUUUACAUAUUCUGUCAAUUUGAUCUUGAUUUAACAAAUUUAUCCCGCAACAAUUACAUAUUCUAUUAACAUUUACAUAUAAUAUAUAAACAUCGAGAGCUUAUUUUGUUAUUAUAUCAAUAAAAAAUAUAUACAAUUUACAGAAAGUAUUAACACAAUGAUUAAUUGUUCUUAGUUGCUCCCAUUCAAAAUUGAUAAUGAUUAAAUUGCUCUAAUUUUCUGAGAGGAAUCAAUUUGUUCAAUAUAGAAAUUGAGAGGGACGAGAAAUGUGUUUUUAUCCAUUUUAGAUACCAACAAGUGUUUGGCGUAGUGGCAAAUCAUAUUACAUUCUCAAGGAGAUAAUGCGUAUUCAGACGUUGGAGAUAAUAAUGUUGUGUGCGGUAUCCACCGAUCUUGAACACGAAUUGUAAAACAUAUAUAAAGAAUAAAAAAAUAACAUCUUAAUUUAAAUAAUUAAUAAAUUUUAAUUUGAAAAAAUUAUUUUGAGAAACAUAAGUUUUAGUAAGUAGUAAAACUGAAUUAAUUUGAAUUUAAACUUAACGCAACUCGAUUUGAUUAUAAAGAAGUGAUAAUUUGAAUCCAAAAUGACAUGAUCUUAAAAUGAUUUGAAUUAAUUGUCAAACCCGAACGACAAAACUCGAAAUGAUGCAAUCCAAAAACGCUGGUUAAAAUGAUGCAAUCCAAUCGUAGUAAGUUUAACCUGCUGCUUUAGAUUUUGCAUUUUGGUUAAUUGGCUUGUGUUAUGUGUUUCUCUGGCAUCAGCCGAUAUGUGGAUUUGCCUCUCGUGAUGCACUACCAUUCAAGAAGCAUAAUGAUUUGUUCUACAUUGAUGACAAAGAUGUGGAGUUUAAAGAAGUAAGAACUGAUCAACAAUAUUCGAGGUUCUGUUGUAUGUUGCCUUAUUAAAUAAGUCUUCACUUAAAUUCCUAUGUUGCCUUAUGUAUGUAGGUUCUUGAGUCACCUUUACCAAAAGCACCACUUGAUACAUCUGUUACAUCCCACUGGCUUGCGAUUGAAGGCAUUCAACCAGCAAUUCCCGAAAAUGCUUCAAUUGAAGGUACCGUCUUAGCUAACCUAAAUAUUUUCUCGAAGCUAUUUGUGUUGAAUACUCUCAUGGUUCAUGUUCUUUUCUGGUUUUAUCACUUUAAUCUAAUACGACUUAUCUUCAUUUCUACAUGGAAUUGGUAGUUUGCUUUCCAUGCAGCACCUUCUGAUGGUAAAAAGGCUGAAUACAAAGAAGAUGGGCUUUCCGUUGAUGUCAAAUUACCUGUUAAGCAUGUAUUAUCUAGAGAGCUUCAAGUAUGUUGUACAUCUUCAGCAACAUUUUUAUGUUAAAAUACAUUUUGCACAGAAUGUUAUUAAAAGACUAAUUUGGUUGUCAUGCAGCUUUACUUUGACAAGAUCGUGGACAUUACCAUGAAUAAAUCAGUCUCAGUUCUCUUUAAACAAGCAUUACUGAGUUUGGCAACAGACUCGGGAUUACAUCCUUUAGUUCCUUAUUUUACAUAUUUCAUUGCGGAUGAGGUUGUCUUAAAGAUCUUUGAUACCUCAUUAUAUAUGUGUGUUGCAAAGAACUUUUGGUUGGUUAUCUCAAGCUUACAUUUUUGCCACAUUUAUCUCAGGUUGCACGGAAUUUGAAUAAUUUCCCUCUCAUGUUUGCUUUGAAGCGUAUUUGCAGCUUCUUGAACCUGAAAUAAAAAGACACGAGGCCUGGUGUGUUUAUGGGGCCCUGCUGGUAAGUUUAACAUCAAAUUUGGUACCAGUUUAUGAGCAUCGUUUCAUUUAUUUGCUGUAGAACUAACAACACUGCAUAAAAUUUCCACUAACAGCGUGCAGCUGGACUGUGCAUGUAUGAUCGGCUUAAAAUGUUCCCCAGUUUGCUAGCACCCCCAACUCGUCCCAUCUGGAAAAGCAACAACAAAGUUGCGACAAGUAUGAUUUCUUCGAACCAUCAUAUUUACACUUAAUCCACAAGUCUCUUCUCCCCCUUUACGAUAUUCCUUUUUCUGAUCAAUCAAGAUAAACGAAAAGCAAGCACGGACACCUUGAUGCAGCAGCAACCACCUGCCAAGAAAAUAGCAACUGAGAGUGCAAUAGGUAUGAUGCCGAUAAAUUCCACGCAAACUGAUUUACAAGGGGCAGUUAGCGGCUUUUCUACCACCGUAGGAGGUUCCAAUAUCGGUGUAUCAUCAAUGUCACGGCCGUUAUCAAACGAAAACAUGCUAGGAAGGGAGGUUGGGGGUCGAGUUUCAAAGACAUCAACCGUUCUAGCUCAGGCUUGGAAGGAAGACACAGACCCGGGGAACUUGUUAGCAUCAUUAUUUGAACUUUUUGGUGAAAGUAUGUUAUCAUUUACUCCCAAACCUGAGCUUUCAUUCUUCCUUUGAUUAAAUUUCACCUCCAAAAGCUAUGGUUUUUGAAGGAAUUUGUGUAAAUUAUCCCCAUAUUCUUUUCAUUCUUACUGUGUUUAUCUUUGUAAGUCUUCCUUUUUUCCUUGCUCAUAAAUGUAUUGUAGUUAUCAAAAAAUAUAUUCUACUUUGGAUUUUAUUUAUAUUAAAAUUUAGGUUAAAUUCUGCUAUUAGUCUCUGUACUUUACGAAAAUGAUGGAUUUAGUCCUUAUACCUUAAUUUGAUCAAUUUUAGUCAUUGUAUUUUUUGAAUUGGUCAAUUUUAAACCAUUUACUUUUUGAAUUUUGAAAUUUUAGUCUUGAUUCAAAUAAUAUUAAUAAUAAUUAAUACCUAAACAAUGCUCCUUUUCCCAAGGUACCUAAUUUUUAUUUUGGCCAUAAGUAUUACUAAAACUAUUCUUCCAUUACUCAUUUUACACCAAAAUGUUAUAUCGGCUAAAAAGAUUCCAACAAAUAAUAGAUUGUAUGUCAUAUAAGCUUUUAAAAAUAAUUAUUAAUUAAUUAAUUUUUUUAUAUUUUUCUUUCUUAUUCCUUUAUAAUGUUUGACAAUGCCGAUAAUGUUUGAAAUUGGCCCACUUGAGGUCGAAACGUUGGUGAUUAAUUUUGGUUUUGAAUUUCACCACCUACUUCUCUGACCUGAGGGAAACUAGUGUUUUCAAAAACAGAUUGAUUCAACUAGUUGGAUAGGAAAUCGGUCCGGAAAUAGGGGUUGAAUCGAUUGACUUGCGAACAAAAACAAAUCGGUUGAACUAGUUCUCUCCAUUUAUAUUUAUAUAAAUAAUAAUAGUUUUUUUUUACUACAUGUCAAUUUUUAAUUGGUUAAUUUUUUUUUUCAUAUAAACUGAACGGUUUGACUAAUGACGGAGGUACCAAAUUUUAGUCUAGGUACCAAUUUAUGGGUUAAGCCUAUUUCUAAAAUAGACUUUUGACUAAUGGCAGUAGUAACUUGGGAAAAAAAAGUAGUUUAUGUACCACUUGUGACAAAAAAUAAGUUUAGGUACCAACAUGGGAAAAUGAGUAUAAUUUAGAUACCGAUUUAUGAGUUAAGCCUAAUAUAUUUGUCGCAUCAUUUUUUGAAAAUAACAAAACUUAAUAAAUUUAACGGUUAUUGUUUGGUGAUGACUAAAAUUUUAAAAUUUGAAAAGUAGAUGAACUAAAAAUGACCAAAUUAAAGUAUAAAGAUUAAGUCCACAACUUUUGCAAAGUAUAAGGACUAAUAGCAGAAAUUAACCUAAAUUUCAUAUGGGUCAAUUACAAAAAUAAUCACUAAACUAUUCCUUUAGUUCUAUUCUAGUCACUCAACUAUAGAGGUGCUCAUGAGCCUGGCCAGGUCAGGCCUAAGCAUGAUAUUAAAGUACUUUAUGCUUGCUCAAGCUCGGCUCGGCCCAAAAUAUGAGCUUAAAAUUUUGCCUAAACUCAUCCAUAUUUGCAAAAGACUAACCCAAGCUCAUUUUAGGCAUGCCCAUAUAAUUUUUAGUUUUUUUUUUAAAUAUUUAUAUUAUAUUAUUUUAAUAUUUAAUAAUUUAAAUAUUUUUUAUUUAUUGAAAAUUUUUAUAUAGUCAUCUUAACAUUAUUUUAAUGUUUACAUUAUAGUAUUAUUAUAUAUUUAAUAUAAGUUUAUUUUUUUAAUCUGUUCUAAAUUAUAAAAUAUAAAGUAUUAUACACUUAAAAAUGGGCCGGGCUGGGCUCGAGCUUUGAAUGUUCAAGCCUAAACCCAGCUCAUAUUUUAAACGGGCCUAAUUUAUCACCCUUUGAUUUAUCAAAAUUUAUAACAAAUGAGAUUUUAGAUUUGAAUUAUGAGGCUAUAUAUAUAUAUAAGUAUACACAUUUUUAUGAAAUACAAAAUUUUGCUAAAACAAAAAGCAUAUAAAAGUAUACACGUUUUUAUGAAAUAAAAGAAAAAGCAUCCAAUUUUGAGAAUGAAAAAUAUAUGGUAAAAGCAUCCAUAACUUUUCAAUGUUAAAGAAAAAAAAGACUUAACACCAAUGUUGUGGUAUUAUUUGUUGCCUAUAAAUACCAUUCCUAUCCUUCAUCUUCCUCUACCAACAUAACAUGGCCCCCUGUCUCUUUCUCUGCCUAUUCCUCUUCUUUCCCCAUCUUUAUGCUUCUUUUUCUUCUUCAGGAUCUCACUCCUGCUCUUUACUAAUCCAGUUCAAGAACUCUUUUUCCAUAACAGAGGCUGCUUAUUCGUCUUGCGGCCCUAAAUCUUAUCCCAAGACAAAUUCAUGGAAGGAGGGUACAGAUUGCUGCUCAUGGGAUGGGGUCACUUGUGACCACCUAAAUGCUCAUGUUAUUGCCCUUGACUUGAGCUGCAGUUGCCUAUAUGGCACCUUCCCUUCCAAUACCACUCUCUUCCUUCUUCCUCACCUUCAAAAACUCAACCUUGCCGGCAAUGAUUUUAAUCUUUCCAAAAUUCCAUCCGA